GGUGUGGGAAAAAUGCUUCUCACUGUAGGGUAAUCAGCUUUUUCAUUAACAACUUUCUUGGUACAAAAAGUCCUUAGGGAUAAGGAGAGAGAGAGGGAGAGGGAGGAGCUCUCCAAUAAUACAGUGGAUAUAUACGUUUGUACAUAAGAGAAAGCAGUCACGGGGAGAAGUCUUUAGUCUUUACACAUAUCCGAGAGAAUAUUUAUUCUCUUGCUUCUCAGCCAACAACACAUAAAGCAACGAACUGAUGCCUGCAACAGCAUACUUCUGCAGAAAUAAUAACGAUAUAAAUUNACCUUAAUAGAGUAAGGAAGAUAACAAAGGCUCCACUGCUUGCAUUAGGCUUCUAAUUAUUGUUUAAUUGGGGGGAUUUUGAAAAUAGAUAUAUUACUUUUAGUCAAACAGCUCAAGAGGGAUAGACAAGGAAGGAGAAGAUGAGUUGGGUGAAAACAGCAAAAAAUGAAUUUGAGACUCUAAAUCAAGAAAUUCUGAUUUAGAGUGUACAAUGGAUGUAAGAAGGGGUCUUAUAAGAUUAAAAAAAGGUCUUACAAGGUCAAGAAGCUUAAAAAAAAAAAAAAUGAUAGAAAAAGCUCAGGUAGGAUAGCACCCAAUUAUCGUGAACAAGCCACCGUUACAAAGGGACUUUUAGCAUCAAACUUGAAUCCUGCCAAAAAUCCACUACUUGAAGCGUUGCAGACGGUGGCGUGGUUC
rnacentral:misc_RNA from 1 species